ACUCCUACGGGAGGCAGCAGUGGGGAAUAUUGCACAAUGGGCGCAAGCCUGAUGCAGCCAUGCCGCGUGUAUGAAGAAGGCCUUCGGGUUGUAAAGUACUUUCAGCAGUGAGGAAGGUGGGUAUGUUAAUAGCAUACUCAUUUGACGUUAGCUGCAGAAGAAGCACCGGCUAACUCCGUGCCAGCAGCCGCGGUAAUACGGAGGGUGCGAGCGUUAAUCGGAAUUACUGGGCGUAAAGCGCAUGCAGGUGGUUUGUUAAGUCAGAUGUGAAAGCCCGGGGCUCAACCUCGGAAUUGCAUUUGAAACUGGCAAACUAGAGUACUGUAGAGGGGGGUAGAAUUUCAGGUGUAGCGGUGAAAUGCGUAGAGAUCUGAAGGAAUACCGGUGGCGAAGGCGGCCCCCCUGGACAGAUACUGACACUCAGAUGCGAAAGCGUGGGGAGCAAACAGGAUUAGAUACCCUGGUAGGCAGCAC
rnacentral:rRNA from 1 species